GGCAACCGAUUCCUCUCCCUCUGAGUUGCGCUCCUCCUCCUCUCUAAACCAUCAUCGAUUCAUCUCUACGUGCUGCGAUCGGGAUUCAAGAAAUGAAACCGUCGAUCGCGUAUGCAGAUCUUAAUGCGCGGUUAUACAAUUAAUCCAUGGCUUUAAGAUUACGAUUCUAUCACUAUUUUUUACUUUGCGAUUUCUGAAACCGUUUCCCUUAAAAAUUUCGAUCUGGAAUUUGUGUUUAUCGGCGGCGGAUCUGUUGAUUCUAUGAACAGAUCUUUAAAUUAAAGUUGUCAAAAACUGAUCUACACCGUAUUCCUCCACUUAGAGAGCAGCGGCCGGUAUUGCUAUGUUAAAGAUAAGUCGAUUCUUCAUUGAAUUUUAAUUUUUUUUUUCAAUUUAGUGUUUAUUUCGUAGGUUUGUAUUACAAAAAAUAACGUAAUACGUACAAAUCCCCAAUUUUUGUUCUCGGAUGGGUACUUAGGUCAAAUUCUGGCAAAAUAAUAGCUAAAUGUAAAAUUUUAUUACUUCAUUUUAUUUGUGUGUGUGUGUGUGUUAACAAAGAUUUCGUUGCGUUUCUUUUGUUUUGUUUUGUUUUGUUUUUUUUUUUUUUUUUUUGAGAAAAUGAUGAAAAUUAAUCUAUGCUGCCUUGUAAUAUAAUGAUCAGGUCUUCUAAGUGGAGAUUGCAUGUUAGGUACGAAGUUUGUAGUCCAGAACAUAUUUAAAUACUGCAUGUUAGGGAAUGCAAGCAGAACUCAUACAAUUGUCCAAGAACAUCGCAACUACAGACCCUGCAAAUUAUAGUUCUCUACAUUUAAAGUGCCAAUGGCAAUGAGAACACUUGGUAAUGCAAGGAUACAUAUUGCUUAGUAUGCUGCCCAAAGGCCAAAACAGAGACACAAAAAAAAUUGAUACCAAAGCUCGCUGCAUAAAUAUUAAAAAUUAGAGGAAUUGCUCAAUAAAAUGUUUACAAUUAAUUAAAAUGUUUACAUAAUAUUAGAGGAAUAGCUUAGUUUGGCCAAAUGAUGAAUGCAAGUCUAGUUGAUUUAUCUCAAUUGAAGCAUUUUUUACCAUUUAGAA